rnacentral:rRNA from 1 species
UACGGAGGGGGCUAGCGUUGUUCGGAAUUACUGGGCGUAAAGCGCACGUAGGCGGCUUUGUAAGUUAGAGGUGAAAGCCCAGGGCUCAACCCUGGAAUUGCCUUUAAGACUGCAUCGCUUGAACAUCGGAGAGGUAAGUGGAAUUCCGAGUGUAGAGGUGAAAUUCGUAGAUAUUCGGAAGAACACCAGUGGCGAAGGCGGCUUACUGGACGAUUGUUGACGCUGAGGUGCGAAAGCGUGGGGAGCAAACCGG